UGUCUUGAAAAACAAACAAACAAACAAAAAAAGCCAAAAAAACCAAACCAAACAAACAUACAAAAAAGAAAUCUGGGCACCCAACAGCUGUCUUAGUGACAGAGCUUUUUAGAGUAAUUUUUUUAUAGGGCAUUAAAGUAUAUUUGAUAAUUGCUAAGAGUAAAAAUUAAUUGCUUUCCAAACUCAUUCUGGGGCUUUUUCCCUUCCUGAAAUAAAGAUGCUGAGGACAGGCUGUUAGAAUGCUAGUUGGGCUUCUUCAUAGUUAGUAUGCAAGGCAGCUUCUAAAGAAGUGGCCCCAAAUGGCUAAAACAGGUUAUUGCAACAAGGGCUUGGGAUCACUGCCAGGGAAACUGGCCAGGAGCAGCGGCUCCCCCAGAAUGCCUUGUUAGUAGAAGAGCUGUGUUGCUCAGAUUCACUGGUGUUGUUCAAAUAGUGGAUGACAAGGGAUCCAGCUUUGCCUGCAGUUCAAGGUCAUUUCUCAGGAGUUGGAGGACACUGUAGGACUCCUGUUGUGGUGAGUCCAGAGAUUAAGGAAAUGACUCUCUGGGCAGCAAUCUACCCAACAGGUACGAUGGUGUGUUCCUGUAGACUCAGCUGCCCCAGAGUUUGAGGUACCCUUGGCACAAUCCCCUGUCUCAUUUAGGAGACAGGAGAGAUAGCCCAGCAUAGCCCAGCUUUGGGUGUUUGAUACCCUGGUUUUCAGUGUUUGUCUGAGUAACUGAUGCUGACAGUCAGCCAGUUCACCUCUCUGCACCAUGUGAAGAAUGUACUUCCAACAAACCACGUCAGAGCCAUCCCAGGCUCUGGCAGUGAGUGCCUGGGGGAUGUGACCCUGCUUGGCUCAGGCUGGAAGCAGGAUGGCCUGUUUGAUACAGCAGUGCUUUUAUUAGUUCUCCUUUUACAGAUAUGCAACUUCACACGCAUGCUGAGGGGAAGGUUAGAAAACAGUGAUGAGCUAUCAGGGCCAUGUUAACUGUAGUUUCACAGAUUACAUUGGAAGCGUGGCUCAGUUUGUUUUCUGCAUCCUUUCUCUGCACUGGCAAAAACAUUUGGGGCUUUUUUCUAACUUAUUUCUUAUUAUAUGUAAAACGUGUGUGUGUGUGUGUGUGUGUGUGUGUGUGUGUGUACACGUAUGUAUGAGGCAGGUGCAUAUCCUACCAAAAUCUGUGUUCAGGCCAGAGGAGAACUUUGAGAAUUCAGUUCUUUGCAUGUGCAGAAGGCAUGUGGUCCUGGGCAUGCUAAUGGCUUGGGUUGAUGGCUGUAGCUUCAGCUGCUGAGUCACCUUGGCAGCUCUUAGUUUUUUGUUUUUUUGUUUUGUUUGUUUUUUUUUUUUUCGAGACAGGGUUUCUCUGUAUAGCCCUGGCUGUCCUGAAACUCACUUUGUAGACCAGGCUGGCCUCGAACUCAGAAAUCCACCUGCCUCUGCCUCCCGAGUGCUGGGAUUAAAGGCUUGCGCCACCACGCCUGGCAAGCUCUUGGUUUUUAAAGCCUUCCAUGUGUUCAGUCUUAGGAGUGCACAGCCCCUCAGACUUUCUCAGACCCUCCCGUGGCUGUUGAUUUGUCUUUUACUCCAUGGCGUUGUGCUUUUGUUCUUUCUUUUUUUAAAAAUUUAUUUAUUAUUUUACAUUAGUACACUGUAGCUGUCUUCAGAUGCACUAGAAGAGGGUGUCAGAUAUCAUUAUGGGUGGUUGUGAGCCACCAUGUGGUUGCUGGGAUUUGAACUCAGGACCUUUGGAAGAGCAGUCAGUGCUCUUAUCCACUGAGCCAUCUCGCCAGCCCCGCUUUUGUUCUUUCUUAAUUGUGUUGUUUGUUAUGUGUACUGGUGUUUUGCCUCCACUUACUUCUGUACAGCAGUUUCAAGCCUGGUAUCCACGGAGGCCACGAAAGGGUGAUGGACUCUCCUGGGGCCUGAGCUACAGACAGUUGUGACCUGCCACGUGGGUGCUUGGGAUUGAACCCAGGUCCUCUGGAAGAGCAACCGCUGCUUUAACUACUGAUUCAUGGCUCCAGCCCUAGCAUCGUGGUUGUUAGAAACAGUAAUUACACUCAUAGUAUAGAUUCUCAUAAUUUCUUACGAGAUCUACAAGUUCGUCCUGAAACAGCAGAGUCUUGGAGAGCACUCAGUUUAGGAACCAGAAGUCCUGUGCAGCAAAGGACCUAAGUCUAACCCCCCCAACCCCCCCUUUUUUGUUUUGUUUUGUUUGUUUGGUUUUUUGUUUGUUUUGUUUUGUUUUUUUGAGAGGUCUAACCCCUUUUACAAGGGGUUUUUGCUUUACUUAGUGGUACUGGAGAUCAGACCUAAGGCCUGAAGCAUUCUGAGUAUACCUAUCACUGAGCAGUGUGAACACUUUUAGCCCUAAACUCCUUUCCAUCCUGAUUUUUCCCAUUUUCCAACUUUGUGAUAUGCUACUGUGUGUUUAGAUUGACACCCACUCACCCCACCCCCUUUUAGUUGGGAUCUCUUCAUGUAGCCCCGGAUGGUCUUGAGUGCUACCCACACCAGCUAGCUGGGUAUAGUUUUUAGCCUUCCUUAGCCUCAUGUUUUUUCAUCUUUAAAACAAAGAGAGUUGAGCUAUGGAGUCUAUUUUUGAAGCUUCUGUCAUUCUAACAUGGUCAGGUUUUAUGUUUGCUUGUAAAAUGUCCCCAUUUAAUGUUGACAUUCCCUUUAUGCAGAAAUGCUGGGAGCCAGAAGAGUCCAAGGCCAUCUUUGGUUACAUAGCAAUUUUGAGAUCAGCAUGAACCAUACAAGAGACCCUGUCUCAAAAUCCAAUAUCUCACUAGGUGUGGUGGCACAUGUUUUUGAGGCAUAGGCAGGCUUGUUUCUGAGUUCAAGGCCUGGUCUUCAUAGUGAGUUCUAGGCUAUCCAGGGCUAUACAGUAAAACCCUGUCUUGGAGGAAGAGGGAGACAGGGAAGAGAAAAAAGUGGAGGAGAAAGAAGAAGAAGAGGAAGAGGACGAGGAGGAUAAAACAAAAAAUAAGAAGGAGGAGGAGGAGAGAGAGGAGGAGGAGGAAGAGAAGGAGGAGGUGGAGGAGGAGGAGGAGAAGAAGAAGAAGAGGAAGAGGAAGAGGAAGAGGAAGAAGAAGAAGAAGAAGAAGAAGAAGACGACGACAACCAAAAAUCAAACUCUAUCCAGAGAGAUUUGAGCAAGAUGUAACAUGAGAGUCACAAGCUAAAAUAAGCAUAGCCAAGACAUGGGUAGAAAAAGACUUAGGAUCUAUAGCAAGCAAGGAGAGUAUGGAAGUUAUUUCCAAAGCCGUGUCUUCUCAGAACAGAGCAGGCAUUGAAAAGUUAGUCACAAGGCCUGUGAUAUACUGGGACUGGCUUCCUCCUCAGCAUGCUCACUUAAGCAGUGGACUUGUGAGUAUACUCAUUUCAAGGUCAGGGAUCACACAUUUCAAAUAUUAAAGUGUGAGACCUUGUCUCAAAAAAGAAAAAGAUUAAAGGGCAGGCGGAUUUCUGAGUUCGAGGCCAGCCUGGUCUACAGAGUGAGUUCUAGGACAGCCAGGGCUACACAGAGAAACCCUGUCUCGAAAAACUAAAAAAAAAGAAAAAAAGAAAGAAAAGAAAAACUAGUUGAAUAACCUGUGGACCUUGUGGUUUGGGAGGCUUCAUGGUAUCGGUAGGUUGAGGAAAAACAGCUCUUCUAAGAAGAUAAACACAGUGAAUUUGCAUGGUCUUGCAGCGAGUCUGGACCAGCUGCUGAGAAGCAGGCUUCCCCAACAGCAGAUAACGCAGGUCUUUGGCCCCAGACUGGUGGUAGGCUCAGUGUUGACCAGAAGAAGACGCCUGUCAGUGAGUGCGCACCUUUGGCCUCUGCUCUUACAGGCUCUGAAGGUUAAUUUUAUGUGUAAACUUGGCUGGGACACAGUGCCCAGACAUUAACAUUGUUUUGAUUUACAGGAAGAUGGUUUUGGGGGUCAGAUGGACACUUCAAUCCAUAGAUUUGAUUCUACAUUUUAUUUGCUUUAAGGCACACCUCCCUGUGUAGCUCAGUUGGCUUUGAACUUGUGAUCUUCCCACCUCUGCCUCCUGACUGGGAUUAUCGGCAUAUACCACUCCAUUUAGCUUUAACUUAAUUAAACAUGUAAUUGCUACUGUCUUGGUCUAUGUUGUAUUGCUGUAAAGAGGCACCAUGACCACAGUAACUCUUAUAAAAGAAAGUAUUUCAUUGGGGCUGGCUUGCAUACAAUUCAGAGGUGUAGUGCACUGUCAUCAUGGCAGGAAGCAUGGCAGCAUGCAGGCAGACAUGGUGCUGGAGAAUUAGCUUGAGAGUUCUACAUCCGGAUCAGCAGGCUAUAAGACAGAGGAGACCCAGGACCUGGCUUGAGCAUUUGAAACCCCAAAGCCCACUGGCAUUGAUAUAUCUUCCCCUCCCCCCACACGGGGCCACACCUCCUAAUAGUGCCUCUCCCUGGUAACCAAGCAUUCAAAUAUACGAGUCUAUGGGAACCAUUCCUAUUCAAACUACCUUAGACCUCAUUCGGGUAAAUCUGAGGUCUUGAGUGCUACAGAAAAGAAUUUCAGAACGAUGUCAAGCCAGGCAGUUUAUUAAGAUUAAAAAAAGAGGGAGAAGGAUUCAGUUCUGCUGUUGGAAUGCUUGCCUGGCACGAACAAAGGGCUGGUUUUGAUCCAGGAAUUAACAUAAAUAGGGUGUGGUAGCAUACACUGGCCCCAGAACUCCUGAGUGGAUCAGGAGAAUCGAUUCAGGCCCAUCUCAUCUACCUAGCAAGGUCAAGGCCAGACUGAGUCUGAACUGUCCAGCCAUUAAUCACCUAUGUGAUUCCCCUGGCAGCCAGGCUCCGUUCCUGUGGCUUGCUUGCAGUUACCUCACGAACAGAACCAGAUGUGGCUGGAUAACAAAGGACACUACACUCCUUGCCAUUUGCUUUAUUAUUUAUUACCAUUUAGAAAAUGUAUUUAUUACCAUUUAGAAAAGUGAGAAAAAUAAAAGAAUGGCUUAGGCACUCUGGCCAUGAAGACCAAGUGUAUAUUAUCUUAGUGCAUUCUACAAGGGUCUGAGAAUUCUGCUAUCUGGUUGCUUAUGGACUGGCCUUACAGUUCUGCCAGCCUGGUCUAUCCUGCAGAGUUUGAUCUUGUACUUAGAUCAGUUACUUAAAGCAGUUAUCCCCAGAUCCUUCCAUCCAGUGUGCACUGUUUGUUGGUUUUGUUUCUCUGGAGGUCUUCUAACACAUAGGGCCUGCAGAUGGCUGUAAGGACCAUUUUACUUUACGUCUUUACUCAGAUAUUUUAAAAUGAUUUUUUUUCCAUUAAAAAUAAAGGGAUUGGGGCUUGUGCAGGGAGAUUGCUCAGCAGUUAAGAACACGUGCUGCUUUUGCAAAGGACCUGAGUACAUCCCAGUACUCACAUUGGAUGGCUCCCAACUGUCUAUAACUCCGGCUCUAGGGCAAUCUGACAUUUCUGGCCUCCACAGGCACUGAUACCCCUGCAUAUAUACACACAGAUCCACAUACAAGCAUAUAAUUUAAAAUGAUAAAAGUAAUUCUGAAAUAUAUUGGGGAUCCCAGAAAGACCCUGCUUCAAAGAGAAGGUGGAGAGUGAUAAUAGGUAGAGUCGGACACCUGAUGCCUUCCUCUGGCCUCUAGAUACCUACAUGGAUGUCCUACAACACACACACACACACACACAUAUUUCUUUUGGUGCCAGGUUUUGAACUCAGGAUCUUGAUCAUAGCCAGUAAACAUUCUGCCCCUGAGCUACACCCCGUGCCCUUCCUAUGACUUUCACAGCUUUAUUGUCAUGAUUAUAGAUUUAAAAUUUGCAAGAGGCUGAGUAUGAGGGCAUAGCUUUAGUCCUAGCACUUGGGAGGCAGAGACAGGCAGAGUUCUGAGAGUCAGUGCUGGCCUAAUGUACAUAGUGAGAUCCUGUCUCUAACCAAAGUAAAAUGUGCAUGACCCAUACACAGACUUCUCCAUAGUACUUAUCAAAUAAAGUCGAGGGAGUUGUGUCUGGCAGGCCACAUAGCCUAUGGCAGAUGCCAUGGUUUGUAAGGCUGACCUAAGAGUGACACCUCGUUCCCCCAGACACACACAAGAACUGUGAUGCUGUAGUAUGGAUACUGUACUAUGGUUAGAAGGUAAGGGCAGGUCCUGUCUGCCAGUUAGGAGGACCCUCCCCUGCCUAGUGUUUCCUCUCUCACUAGACCUCACUUCACACUGAGAAAAUGUUUGGGCUCUGUUCAUCUGAUAGGAAGGAAGCUGGAGGGCAAAGACCCAGCACCCUGGUGUGGCUCUCUGUAUCUAAAGGGGUCAGGACUUUUCCCAGAGCCUGGCCUGUGGUAUACUGUGCUCACGGGUCUGUCAUUGUAUGCCUGUGUCAUAUUAGUGCCUUUUGACAGACACGGCUGUCUGUUGAUGGGUGCUAUUCUGUGCCUUUAGUUGCUGAAAAAUGAACAGAACCAGAUAGACAAGGACUCUUGCCACGUGGUCCUGGGAACAGAAAGAGAGAUCUCUGACCAGCUGCCUACAGUCUUGAUUAUCUUGAUGAAAGCAGUUGCCCAAGUCUUUGUUUUGUGCCCAGAGUGUUGGAAAAUUCUCCUUCCUUUUCCAGCAGGGUACCCAGCCAUUUCUACAAAUGCCAUUUCUGCAAAUGGAGACUCCUCAUUAAGGAUUUUGUUCAGAAGAGGGAAAAGGAGUUAGCUGAGGAUGGUGACGUCUCAAAGGCCCAGUUGUGAUUAGACCAGGUGUGGUGGUGAUACCACAUGUCUGUAAUUUCAUCACUCAGGUGAGGCAAGAGAAUCGCAAGUUCAGGGCCAGCCAGAGGUACCAAGCUAGAUCCUGUAUCAAAGUCUGAAAAAGAAAACAAUGUAAAAACAUUAUGGCUCCACCUGCUGGCAUUCAACUCCAUUUCUGUAGAGUCCUUUACCUUGGAAGGUUCCUUUGAAAGGUCACUUGUUUUUGUGUAGUAUUGUGUUCAAAUUUUACCUGCAUAGCCAAAGAGCUUCAUUAGUGUUUUUCUGUGAUUUUCCUAGUAGGGGGUUGAAGAGUGUGGCUCAUGGGUAGAGCGCUUGCGUACAUGAGCAAAGCGUUGGGGUUCCAUCCUUAAACACUAAAAGCAAUCUCCCAACAAACACUGUCUGUAGUUAAAUGGACACCUUCCAGAGAAGGGCCAACAGUGGUGUGAGGGUUUAGGAAUCCCGCUGCCAUUCUCUGGCUGGGACAGGCAAGGUGAGUCUCUCACCCAUGUCCCUGAGCAGGCAAGCCCAGAGCACCAAGGUCCUGACGGGUAGGCAGGACUGUGAGGCUGAGCUUUAGAGAGUGACUCUCAAGCUGGGGCUCGGACAAGUGUCCCCACAGCUGCUUCCCAGGGUCGCCACAUGCUAACUGAUUGAUUUCUGCAAUGACCCUUUAAAGUGUAUGAUGUAUGAGCCCCAGGCUGGCUCCUUGGCAACCCCAGGGUGACUGUAUUGUGCUCAGAGGGUGAACUCCGGGUGCUGAGCACUCAGAUGGCCAAGGCUGGCCAGCCUGGACUGGGCCUCUGUUGGAACCAUCAAGUCUGUCCAUUUUCUUGGCUGGCUCCUCCAACAAGCUUCUUUUAGUUGCAGGAUUUCAUUCUGCCAUCGUAAGGAAACGGAGAAAACAGUAUCAACACAGAUUAAGAAAGAAGAACAUUUUUAAAAGCAAGUUGCAGAAACCCUAAAGAAAGCAUCUCCCAGUGCUUCUGGCUGCCCCUGGCCAGUGGCUUCUCUGCUUAUGUGAUCAACCUGGAGGGAAAAUGGAGUCAGAGGUUUCAGGUGUAGGCCCAGUAUGGGUUGGGAGCCUGAGUGUCUUCUCUUGAGGUUCACAAUUAUAGUUCUUUUCACAGUGCUGGCUGGAAGGUACACAUUUUGGCAGAAAGGACAAACUGUAACACCUUAAAAAAUAGACAUUUUGGGCUGAACAUGGUGAUGCUUGCCUUUAAUCCCAGCACUUGGGAAGCAGAGGCAGGAGGAUCUCUAGGUUGGUCUACUCUACAGAGAGAGUUCCAGGCUAGUCAGCCACACAGUGAGACCUAUGUCUUUAAAAAAAAAUGCUGGGGAGAUGGCUCAAUGAGUUCAGAUCCCGGAAUUCCAGUAAAACCUGGGUCUGGUGGCAUGCAUCUGUAAUAUUAGUACUCCUGUAUUGAGAUGGGAGAUGGAGACAGGAGAAUCCCCUGGAAGCUCGUAGGCAUACUUGAUUGACAUAUGCAGUGCAGCAGCAGAAACCAAAAGAGAGGCUGUCUCAAGGAGAUGGGAGGUAAGAGCUGAUUCCCAAAAGAUGUCAGCUGACCUCCACAUGUCCAUCAUGGAACAUACAUGCCCAUACUUGAACACAUACGUGUCAUACACACACACACACACACACACACACACACACACACACACACACACAGUUUUUAGGAAAAGCAAAAUAGAACGUUGAAAAGAGAUCAUACUCCUAACUGGUCAACUUUUUAUAGACCCUCUUAGGAAAAACUCAGCAGUAGAUAAUUGGUGAUACACAGGCCUGUAGAUAGCACACCUCAUUGUGCACUGUACCUGUGCUUUUUUUUCUUUUCUUUUGUUAAAGAUUUAUUUAUUGUAUGUAUAUGAGUACACUGUAGCUGUCUUCAGACACUCCAGAAGAGGGCAUCCGAUCUCAUUAGGGAUGGUUGUGAGCCACCAUGUGGUUGCUGGGAAUUGAGCUCAGGACCUCUGGAAGAACAGUCAGUGCUCUCAACCACUGAGUCAUCUCUCCAGCCCCCUGACCUGUGCUUUCCAAGUCUGUUACCUUUAGUCAACUGCGGUCUUUAGAUGUUGAAUGGAGAAUUCUAUAAAUAAACCCCAUAAGACUUUUCUUCUUCUUGUUAGCUUCAUUUAUUCAUAUAAUGUAUUUUGAUCAAGUCAGUUGGCAUUCCCUGGUCCCCUACUACCCGUCCUUCCCUCUUAACUUCAUGUGCUUUUUUUAAUGCCUUUUUUUUUUUUUUAAAGAUAUACCAAGCCCACUAAGUAAUAUCUAAGUACUCUGUACUAUCUAUAUGUACAGAGGUGUAGGACCAUCUACAGAAAUAUAGGUAGCCUUUCAGGGGGAGCAUCUACAUACAUACAUAUAUACAUACUCACAAAUAUUUUGAAAAAACAUGGUACAUAAUUAGUUGACACAAUAUCACAAAUGCAUAGAACCAGAAGUGUUUUUAGAUUUUGGAGUUCAGUAUUUGCAUAGACUUGGCUAUUCCAACAUCUCUCUCCCCCACUCCCAUUCCCACCCCUCCAAAAACAGAAAAGAAAAGAAAAUGUCAGAUAAGAGGUGCUCGACCCAUGUAGAGUGUAUUUUUAGGCAUCCGCUGAGAAUUUCAGAGGUGCUCACGCUUAGAUAAGGCUGGGAAUAUGCUAUGUACUCGGUAUGUAAUGAGAAGGAAUUGCUGUGUGGACCUUGAGCAUGCAGUAUUUUCCCAGGCAGCUGGGAUAUAACUGAAUUCUGUAUGCAUUCACAUUUGUUAAUAAGCCUCGCCCAGACAGGACUGUGGCUUCCUUUGCACUAUGGAAACUCUGUAAAGUAAUAAGUUGGCUCAAGUGUAGGGCAAAUAAAGCAUAAGGUGAUUAGAACGCGAGAAGCAGUGGACUGUGAACCAGUUGUUAACAGCAGGUGCGGUUAUAGCUGCCCAAGGACUCGCUAGUUACCCUGCAGUAUGUUUCUGUCAUUUAAAAGAGACUGAAAUUUGGAUAGAAAUUCAGUAUUAAUUCAUUGAGUUAAACAAAGAAUGGGGGAGCAGAGGCCAGACUCUAACUUUGUGAUUUUUAAUAUAUUUUUUUCAACGGUUAACUUUAGUGUUCUGGAAUUGUCUCCUUUUGACAUUUUAUUUCCUGUUCUGGGACACCAACUCUGCCUGCAUUGAGUGUUUUUUUCUCAUCAGUAUCAGUAUUUUUUUCCCUCUUAAUUCUUUUCAUGUCCAUUUUGUCCAGCCUUGCUUAGCCACAGUUUUGAUUCUGGCUUUGCAAUUUCCUGAUUCCAAGAUAACUUUUGAGGGGUUUUUGUUUUGACCUUGGCGUGUUUCAGUGCAUAGAUACAUUGUUUCACAGGUUAAGCAUUCCAGUCCCAAAAGUUACUUUCUUUUUCUCCUAUCCUCCCUCCCUCUCUCUCUCCCCUUAAUCCUUUUCUUCUCAACCUGCUGUACCUUGAAUUUGUGAUCCUUCUGUUUUUGCCUCCCGAGUCUGGAAUUAGAGGACCAUACUCCUACACUCAGAUAGCUUGUGUGUGUGUGUGUGUGUGUGUGUGUGUGUGUGUGUGUGUGUGUGUGUACUCCCUUGUGAAGGUGCUCCAAGAGACCAGAGAUGUGUUCUCAGUUGGAUCCUUUGUGGUUCUAGAUGUUUGGAGUGGGGUGGGGUGGUUUUCAUUUAUGAACUUGCAUUCUGUGGAAGAUGCUAUGUGGUUUUGUCUAUUAUAUUUCCUGUCCCAUCUUCCUGCCUGGUUUUCAGGUGAGCACCAUGCCCUGGGACUGCUGAGAGUGUGCUAAGAGAAUUCUUUUAAGGUGUUUUUUGAGUGUGUCCUUGAGUGAGAAAGAUCACAUUGAGAUGUGUUUGCUCGUGAGUAUCUGCUGUGAGAACAUGUAGGUGCUGGACAUUUGUAGAGCUGUGAAGUGGACUCACAGUGGAUGUCUGUCCCUUACUGCUCCUGGGUUGUAAGUGGCAUUUGAGAUAUUUUCUAACUUUGCUGCCCAGAGUAUUGGCUUCUUUUCCUUUUUAUUUAUUCAUUCACUCAUCCAUCCAUCCAUUCAUUCAUUAGGUAUUUUCUUAUUUGCUUGCUUAUUUAUUUACUUACUUACUUACUUAUAUGAGGCAAGGACUUACCAUGCAACUCUGGUGGUACUAGAACUCAGCUGUAUAGAUCAGGUUGGGCUCUAACUCACAGUGAUUCACCUGCCUCUGCCUCUUGAGUGCUCCCAUGCCCUGCUUAGUGUACGGGAGGUCCUGGUUUGAUCUGAAAAUGUGGGAGAAAGGAGCUGGAGAGGGAGCAAGUGGGGGAAGAAUAUUCACAGGCUCAUGCAUUCAGCAACACAAUCAAGAACACUGCAGUCAUCGCACUGAGAGGCCCAAACACUGUCCUCAUAGCCUUUGGCAUCUGUCAGCCUGUCUAGUCCUCUGCCCUCCCUAGUCUUUCUUUGUAGCAGGGAUUAAGCCCACUACCUCAUACAUGUAGGUCAGGGCCUCAUGCAUGUAGGUCAGGGCCUCAUAUAUGUAGGUCAGGGCCUCACACAAUCCCUGAGCUAUAGCCUGAGCUUUUAAAAUUUAAUGUGUGUAUGAAUGUUGUAUGUAAGAAUAUUGCAUCUGUGCCUGGUACUUGCAGGAGCCAGAAGAGGGCACCAGAUUUCUUGGCAGUGGAGUUAAAGCCAGCUAUGAGCCAUGGUAUGGUUGCUGGGAACCGAACCCAGAUCCUCUAGUAAAACAUCCAGUGCUCUCAACUGCCUAUCUCUCAGCCCCUAUCUGCAAGUUUUUAAUCACAGUCCUUUUGUCACAGGGACCCACUGAGUUACCCAGACAGAUUUUAAAAGUGGCAUCCCCCUGCCUCAGCCUCCCUACUAAGCACCAGGCCCAGUCAGGCCCUACUUUUGCUAGCACAUGCUAGAAUGAGACAUACUGGCAGAUGGUUACAGCUUAAAUACCCUGUGCACAGCGCAAAAGGAGGUGCAGGUAUAAGCAGUUUCCUGAGAGAUAAGAAACAAUUUGUUAGAGAACUCUAUGGAGAAGCCAGUUUUUAAGGGAAUCCUUAGACAGUGCGGCAUGACCUGCAGUAAAGUUGCCUUGGCCCACAGACUCAGCAACCUUUUGUAGGGGUUCUCUGCAGUGCCGAGUGGGCCUGAGGGAGAGGGCAGGGUGUAACAGAAGUCAGUCAGUGUCAGUCUUUGUUGUUAAGGAGUCAGUGCUUCGUGGCUCACAGAAUGUCAGUAAGAAGACAGAAGCAUCAUCGUCCUCUUUGGGGGACUCUGACCAGGUGGACAAGGGAACUUGGCUAAGAGCCAUCCCCUGUCUUGGAAUGUACAGUUCUGAUGUCUCAAUACAGGAUGUCUCUGCAGGUCAGCACCUGUUGGUGUGGUAUUGAUUUCUGAGUCUUGACAGUAGCUCCUAGAACCUGUUGAGGCCGGUAGCACUGUGUGUGGCCAUGGCUGUUAACACUGUGUGUGGCCACGGUCCAAGUUAAAACACCUCACUAAAUCAAGCACACACACCACACCUCAUACCAAGGAAAUAUACCUUACGGCCAGCAAAAACCAGUCUUUGCUUUGAGGGAAUGAUGUCUUUACUAGGGUGGCCAACAUCUGCAUUCCUGUUUAUUGUAUGCUUCUGGUGGGCUUAA